UACGAAGGGGGCUAGCGUUGUUCGGAAUUACUGGGCGUAAAGCGCACGUAGGCGGAUAUUUAAGUCAGGGGUGAAAUCCCGGGGCUCAACCCCCGGAACUGCCUUUGAUACUGGGUAUCUCGAGUCCGAGAGAGGUGAGUGGAAUUCCGAGUGUAGAGGUGAAAUUCGUAGAUAUUCGGAGGAACACCAGUGGCGAAGGCGGCUCACUGGCUCGGUACUGACGCUGAGGUGCGAAAGCGUGGGGAGCAACAGG
rnacentral:rRNA from 1 species